rnacentral:snRNA from 1 species
GGAUGCAAGGGUGAUUUGGCUGCUACAUCUGUCACCCCAGUGAUCACCAGGGUUGAUUCGGCUGAUCUGGCUCCCUAGGCGUGUCCCCUUCCUCCCUCCCCGCUCAUGUGAACAGAGGAGGACCGGUCUUUGGUCAGGGGCAUGAGUUGCUGUGCACUCCUGCUAGAAAGUACCUCCAAACAAGCCCUCAAAAUACUGCCUUGCAAAUAAGUUAUUAGCUAAAGGGGAUUAUUUAUUAUUAUUAUUAUCAUUAUGUAUUAGUUUAA